rnacentral:rRNA from 1 species
AUUGAACUCUGGCGGCAGGCCUAACACAUGCAAGUCGAACGAGUUGCGGACUGGUGAGUAAUGUCUGUUAACCUGCCUGAUGGAUGGGGAUAACUACUGGAAACGGUAGCUAAUACCGCAUACCAUCAGCUGUGCCCAGAUGGGUGUAGCUUGUGGGUGGGGUAACGGCUCACCUAGGCGACGAUCCCUAACUGGUCUGAGAGGAUGACCAGCCACACUGGAACGGAGACACGGUACAGACUCCUACGGGAGGCAGCAGUGGGGAAUAUUGCACAAUGGGCGCAAGCCUGAUGCAGCCAUGACGCGUGUAUGAAGAAGGCCUUCGGGUUGUAAAGUACUGUCAGCGGGGAGGAGUUACCAGCAGAAGAAGCACCGGCUAACUCAGUGCAAGCAGCCGAGGUAAUUC